rnacentral:lncRNA from 1 species
UGGUUAGUUGAUUGAUUUGAUCGAUUGAUUUAAAAAACAAAACAAAACAAAAACAUCCACAGCUUCCAGCCAGUUCCUGAGUCCUGAAAUGUCCUCAGGAUAUCUUUCCUAUUCCUUCGAUGUCCUUGGCUUCUUUUUGGUGGCUCUGUUGUCUUGAGCAGCUCCUUUGUCCUUGGCUCCAAUUUUGCACAUACUUCAGAACUUUCUUCUAUGCUUUUUUGCUUACAACUUUCACUUUAAAAAAUUAAAAAAAAAAAAAAAUAACCUUAAGCUGUAAGCUACAGCCUGAGUGCUGGGCUGCUGCAAAAUUUCCUCCACUAAAAUUUUUAGUCUAUCCCUUUCAUAUUUAGUCUCAUAAGUCCCGGGGCUUAUUUAAGAUACAAGUUCUCUUCCACAGUUUAAAAUGAACGCCAUUAGUCCAGUUUACAGUUGUCCUUACUCUAUCAGACACCACCCCAACAGUCUUCCUUUCCCCUCCAUAUCAGCAUUCUGAGCAUUUGCACUCACAACAGAAUCGCUGGCUGAAUUGUGGCUCAAGUGCCUAGGGCCACUAUGGGGCUUUUUGAAAUGCUCACAAACUAAUUCUUAAACGUUCCUACAUGGUCAGGUUGGCCACAGAUGUGACCCUGCUUCUUCAUACCAAGUACCUUUUUAUUACUUAGACUUUCAUCUCCUGACAGAUACAUGAGGGAAACAACUUGAAAGGCAAAAAUUAUUUAUUCUGACUUACAGCUCCACUUCAUCUUUGUAGGAAGGGCGUGUCAAAGCAGAGCAGGUGACAUCAUGGUGCCAAGGAAACUGGAAAAUAAUGCCUACCCUGGCUAGCUUUUCCCCUUUUUGUUUUAUCUGAGUCUCCAUCCUGUGGAAUGGUCCUGUUCACCUUUAUAGGAGGCCUCUCCUGCUUAGUAACAUUGUGGAAUGUCCAUAUACAGACAAGCAGUGUGUCUUUUUCCAGUCCAAUCAAGUUGACAGUAAAGAGGCAGAGGCAGGUGGAUCUCUGUAAGUUCAGGGUCAGCCUGAUUUAUACAGCAAGUUCCAGGACAACCAGAACUACAUCGUGUGAGACCCAAUCUCAGAAAAAAAGAAAAAGUUAAUAAACAUUAAAAAAGAAAAGCGGGCUCAGGAGAUGGCUCAGUGCUUAAGAGCACUGACUGUUCUUCCAAAGGUCCUGAGUUCAAUUUCCAGCAACCUCAUGGUGGCUCAUAACCAUCUGUAAUGGGAUCUGAUGUCCUCUUCUGAUAUGCCUGAAGACAGCGACAGGACAGUGUACUCACAUGCAUAAAAUAAAUACAUCUUAG